UAAAUCUACAUUUUUGCCUUGAACUUCCUUCAAUUUCUAGAAUUCUUCUCUCUCUUUAUCUUCCAUUUUCUUCUUCUUUUCUCAUUUAUGCUUACCCUUUGUAUUCCCAAAUCUUCCCUUUUACUUUUCGAAGAUUUCAUCACCAACCCACAUAAACCCUUUAUAUCUCACCUUCCCCCUCUCAUUCUCUGCCUGUAAUAUCUCAGAUCAGGGGCAAAAAACCCACAAAAAUCUGUUCUUUGGUUUUUUCGUUUCUGGGUUUUGGUUAAAUUAUGUUGCAGCUGUUCUUUACAGUGGCUUUCUCUGCAGUGCCUUUGACUCUUUAUAUACCACCAGUUAGGAGCUUGAAUCAUUUUGUGGAGACCAUGGAAGAUCUGUACAGGGAGUCUAGAGAAUAUACUAAUAGAGUUUAUCCACGUGCAAGGCACUUUUGGUCUAGGUUCUUGGAUCUCUUGCUCUGCAAUUUGAGGUUAGAUUAAUUAGGAAGGAUCUCUUCAGUAUACAUUCUCUUUUUUCUUCUUCUCUUUGGUUUAAAUUUGAUGGUUGAUUCCUGGGUAUCUGUGUCCGGAGUUGUUUGUUUUUCUUGGUUGUGUAAUUUUCUUGUUAUUGCGGGCUUAUAUUUCUGCAGAAAUCUGUGAGCUUUGCCUGCAGAGUGGAGAUGUUAUUGUAUCAAUAAAGGAUAGUAUUUUCUCUCUCUAUAGAAUUCCAUUUGAAAUUAGGAGUUUGCAGAGAUCAGAUUUGAUUUUAGGAGAUGAAUGAACAUGAUGCAGAAUUUUAAAACUUUAGAUUUUUUUUUUUUCAUACAGUUUUAGUUUUGGUAUUUCUGCCUCAAUAUUGGCC
rnacentral:misc_RNA from 1 species